AUUUAGUCCUGAUGACAAUACAAAAUAAAAUAUAAGCAUAAAGGUUAUAUAAAAUUGUUAUAAGGCCCAGAUCCGCACAUGCGUUUUAGAAUUGUUGAGUCUGAUUUCUCAACAUUGCCAAUAUUAAUAAAUAAGCAUUAGAUACAUCAAAGAAGUCGAAUAAAAUAAUCUAAAUAUUAGUGUUGCACUAUAAAUAAUUAUCGAACAAAAUAAUUAUUUGAAGGUUGAUUCUCCAGAUUUGUAGUUCUCUCUUCUGGUUUUAUCUAAUCAUUCAUCAAUUGAUCGAUUCAUUCUGUGCUGCUAAACUCGAACUCAAAUCUCGAAGAAGAAGCAUACAUUUCAUAUGAGUUUACAUCAAUAAAGAAGAGGAAGUGCAAAAAGCAUCAGAGUAAACUACCCCAAUCCCAACUAGGUUGGCACCAGGGAGGAUACACUUAAUCAUAUUCUAGCAUGACCACAAAGAAAUAAAACACACGCAGCAACUGCAGCAGCCUCCACUGAUGCAGGGGAGAAGCAACCACCCAGACAAACUCAAGGCCCGCCCCUUGUGCAAAGUCUAACUUGCUGAAGAUUAUGAAGCAAGUCAUUGACUGAGUAAUUGAAGGAUAGGCAGCAGGUUUUAACCCACAAAGCAAUCCUAACCUUAAUGAAUUCACACAGACCAUCCAGACCCACCUGUGAACUGUUGAAGAUACAAUCAUUUCUCUGCUUCCAAGUCGACCAUUGCACAACCAGAGGGAGUGCUCUCUAGAUCAUCUCCUGUUUUUUGAGCUUAAUACCAGUGCACUAACAUAAUAAGCUACUCACAGACCCAGGCAUUAGCCACUGUAUACCCCACCAGUUUAUAAUUCUGGACCAAAUCUUCCAAGUAAAGGGGCAAAACAGUAGCACAUGGUUGACACUCUCCACCUCCUUCUUACAAAAAGUACACUUAACUUCUAUAUCUUCACUGAGUACUCCAAUUCUUUGGAGAUAGCUAGCUGUCUUAAUCCUACCUUUCCAAGCUAACCAACCAAAAAACUAAACCUUGGGUGGAGUGACAUUCUUCCAAAUGAAAUCUGCUAUUUUUCUAUUAGCCACAUAACUCACACCACUUGUAUGCUGUGGCAACAGAGAAAAACCCUGAUGCAUCUGCAUCCCAUCUCAACCUAUCACUACUCUCUUCCCUAAGAGCAGGUGCAUUGAGUAACAUCUCAUCCAGCUUCCUCAAUUCCUCCACAUCCCACUGAAAUAGGGAUCUUCUAAACCUAAGAUUUCCCUCCUCAAACUCAUUCCUCCUACUCAUCACCAAAUUCACAGAUUCAGUUUUGUCCAUUGAUAAAGAAAAAAGUCUAGGAAAUUCCUCUUUCAAACAAACAAAGCCAAUCCAUUUGUCCACCCAAAAUUGUGUUCUCCUCCCAUCCCCAAUAACUAGACCUAUGUUGCUUUUGAAGAAAUCAACCAGUUCAGGUCUAUACCUUUCCAGAUCUGAGAAGACCUGAGAUUUACAACUGGUAGUGGCCACCAUCCCCAUCCAGCCUCACUGUAUUUACUGCAGAUCACCUGCUUCCACAAAGCAUCAUAGUUAGACCCAAACCUCCACCACCACUUCAAAAGAAGACAAUCAUUCACAAGUCUGAGUCUCUUAACUCCUAAGCUUCCUUGACUUUUACUUUGUGAAAUCACCUCCCAGCUGACCAGAUGAAUUUUUCUUCUAAGCUCAUCACCUCCCCAUAGGAAUCUAGACUGAAUUUGUCUAUUUCCUUUGCAACCCCUUCUGGCAUCUUAAACAAGGAUAGGUAAGAUAGCACAGAUUUUAUCAAGGUCAAUCUACCAGCAGAGGAUAGGAACCUCCUCUUCCACGAAGCCAACUUUUGUUUGCAUUUAUCAAUCACUGGCUGCCAUGUCCUCCUUUUCCUUGGAUUAGCUCCCAAUGGCAGCCCCAAGUAUUUUAAUGGCAGACUCUGAUGAAGACAAUUCAAUUUGGUAGCAAACUCUUUAGUGAGCUCCUCAUCAAUCCGAACCCCACGUACCACUCUCAUAAUAAUUAAUCUUCAGCCCAUAUAAUAAAUCCUUUUGAUAGGAACAAUCUCCUCCCAUUCUGCCUCACAAAAUAAAAUUGUGCCAUCUGCAACCGGAGAUGGAUGAUCCUAACCUCAUUAGAGCCUACCACUGCUCCUUUAAUCAAUCCUCUCUGCAAAGCUCUCUCCAAUAGAACAUUGAGACCCUCAGCUACAAUGUUCAACAGGAAUAGUGAUAAUGGAUCACCUUGUCUCAGCCCUAAACCCUAAACCAAAAGCAUCCUGAUAUGAGUACCAGAGGUUAUAUAUAUAGAUAUAUCUAUAUAUACAAACUAAUACAGAAUAUAAAUAAACCAAUGAUGAAUUUCUAAGAAGGGAAUAGUUGAGCACGCAUAGGACUGUGUACACACAAACAUGAAAAGAUUAAAUGAAAAGAACCUAAGCCUGUAUUAGCUAGGCAGCGAGGUGAGAAGCAUGCCAGCUAGAUUUGUUAAAAGCAUAAACUUAUCUAAAACUAAUAGUUAUUUUUAAAAGCAUUACUCAAACAUACCCGAAGUUCAUAACCAAUACUAACUUUACAUAGGCAUAUGCUUCACUAAUGUAUCAAAUAAUGCUACCUCGAAUUUUAAUAAAAUCAUAAAUUUAGAUAAAGGAAAUGAAGAAACUGAAAAGCACGAGAGCUUAAAAAAAAAUUAGCAAUGAAAUAAUGAACAGUUUAAUAUAUAUAUAUAUAUAUAUAUUAGGUUUUCCUUUAAGCCAAUAAAAAUAAAAUUCUAACACCAAGUAAAACUAUAGUAAAAGUAAGAGCAGUGCUAUAUGAUUCACAUGAUUUUUUGAACUUUUCAUCCGACACCACAUGACAUUCCUGUUAAGUACUUGCCAUUGUAAUGUUCUAUCAACUGCAAUCAUAGAAUUUUCUGCUUUGUGAUCAAUCAGAGUAAUCUUGUUCUUGUGACUUUUGAACCCGAUUGCUAGGUUCUCUGAUUAUUUAUUUAUUUAAGAAAGUAACGCAUUGCUUGAAUAUAUCAUAAUCUAUCAAGAGCAUUGUAGAAACUUUUAGUUUCUUCAUUAAUAUGCUUCAUGCUAGAAAUGCUUCUAGUAUGCUUAAUAGUUCUGAUUUAGAUUGCACCACCGGGAUGCAAAAACCAUGACAAUCGUUAAUUUAGCAAGUAAUGAUCCAUGCAUGCAUAUAUAGCCUUAGAGCCGUCCAAGAAUCUUCGUUAGAGAUACGUAGUUGUAACGCCCUCAAAAUAACAACAUUAAACCCAUCAAAUAAGACAUGCAUUUACAUAUAAACUAACCACAUUCUUUUAUUCAUUAGAGUUCCAUUACAUAAGUAUUACAU